rnacentral:lncRNA from 1 species
AUUGCCUCCACAGCUCAAAACUAUACAUUCUCUAAUUCUAAGACUUUAUUAUUUUUAUAUACUAAUUUGUUCAUACAAUGGAUAUCCAGGUGGUACUGUUCUUAGGAGGAUUUUAAAGAAGAAAUCUAUGCGAAAACAAUACACAGUUCUGGCCAAAAGAAGUUAAAACAAAUGUGAAAUAUAAGCGACAUCCAGAAACUUCAGCAGCUCCCUUCUGCCCUACGCCUCAAGGUACCAGAGAGGGAAAAAGACCCCCAGGAGAGGCUGUGAGGAAACCUGAACUGCAAACCCACCACGAUGUCUUCCUGGGAAAGGCAAGUUGGUAAAGAUGUGAACUCUAUUUCAGGGUAGUAUGUUUUUUUCAUUUGCUUCCAAGCCUUUGAUGGAAUGACUUGAGAGGAAAAGUUCACAAUUACUAGAAAGAACCUAAAAGGACAUGAGAGAUGAAACGGUUGCAGUAUUUUUGAAAUAAAUGUUUUCCUGCAAGAGCAGAGUCAUGGGCGGGGUGUCUGUGUAAUGUCUACUCAACACAGCCGAAGGGUAAGAGGAAAUC